CGCCCACUCACAGUCCAAGCUCCGCUCCUGGUGCACCAGGCGCACGAGGCCGUGGAACUGCAACAGGCUCGAAGGGUGCUUUGGGAUGGAGGGUAAGAGAGUUGCUGGGCCCAUCCCGCAGACCCUGGAUGAGCAACAGAUGAAAGGAGUACUCAGACACAUAUGAGGACACAGAAGAACAGAACAGUAAACUGAGCUGCUCAAAGACACCCAGCUGGGAAAAGACAGAGCUGAGACUCAAACCCAG